rnacentral:misc_RNA from 1 species
GAAAGCAGAGGUGAUUGGAUUAUUAAGGAAUUUGGAAGUUUUGGAUUUAAGUUACAACGGGAUUAAUGAGAACCUUCAUUCAGUUCUUUGCUGAAUCUGAGGGUAUUGGCAUUGCAGAAUAAGCAGAUGCAUUUUGGGGUAUACCAGAGGAAUUGUUGAAUGAAUCAGUGCUGAUUGAAGAACUGGAUGUCAGUGGUGAUGGAUUUACAGAGAUCUCCAUGACACAAAUGGGAACAUGCCUGUAUCAUACAUUGGAAAUCAACGUUUUCUGUGCCUGGUUGCUUCAUACCUCACUGGUAAUGGCAGAAGACAAUUGGAAUGGAAGGCCUCCAACAAUGGCAUUUCAUCAGCCACAAACAGACAAGAUAUUCAUACAAAAUUAUGAAGGAAUGAGCUGCAUGGUACCUCAUUUCAAUGUCCAUGUAUGCAAGUCAUAAUUAGUUGAACAAAGUUGGGAAUCUUUUGCUGAAUUCAUACGCAUUUGAGUAUGAUUCUCAUGAUUCGUGCACAAUGUGGUGGAGAGUUCUUUUGGCGGGUAGCACCUCAUUUCUAUGCAUGUAUGCGAGUCAUAAUUACUUACGUUGCAUGAUUCCAUUUAUAUUUCCUAGUGAUGCUAUUUAAUUUUCUUAUUAUUUUUUUGAUGCUUGACCAAAUAUAGGUUCAUGAAACUAUCAUGUAUUGCUUGCAUGAACAAGCAAUAGAUGACCCAAGUGAAAACUCCUGGAAUCCUUCUGAACAAGUGAAAACUCCUCUGAUCCCUAGUGAAUUGAUGACCAUAGAAGGAACCAGCCUUUGUGGUAGUGUAAUUUCCUAGAUUCUUUUGUGCAAUGAG